UAUGUGAUCGUCUCUCGCAUAUCAAUAAGCGGAGGAAAAGAAACUAACAAGGAUUCCCUUAGUAACGGCGAGUGAAGCGGGAAGAGCUCAAAUUUGAAAUCUUCAAGGUUUUACCUUGACGAAUUGUAGUUUAAAGAAGUGUUUUCUGUUGAAGUUUUGGUAAAAGUUCUUUGGAAUAGGACAUCAUAGAGGGUGAGAAUCCCGUAUUUGACCAUUAUUUUCAGCUGUGUGAUACACUUUCAAAGAGUCGGAUUGUUUGGGAAUGCAGUCCAAAAUGGGUGGUAAAUUUCAUCUAAAGCUAAAUAUUGGCGAGAGACCGAUAGCGAACAAGUACCGUGAGGGAAAGAUGAAAAGAACUUUGAAAAGAGAGUUAAACAGUACGUGAAAUUGUCAAAAGGGAAGCGUUUGACACCAGUGUUGUUUUCUCGAAAAUCAAUUAAAAAGAGUUAGAUUUUGUUGUGUAUUGACCUUAACAGCUUGCAUUUCAAUUUUCUUGCUUUUUUUAAUGCACUUUUCGUUUAACAAGUCAACAUCAGUUUCUUUUGUUGUAAAAAGGUCAUUGGAAGGUGGCUUUCUUUUCGGAGAAAGUGUUUAUAGCCUUUGACUCCUGCAAUCGGAGAGACUGAGGUCUGCGGCGUAGAUCCUUCGGGGUUAGAUACAUUUGUGCUAAGUUAUAGCUUUUUAUAGACAACUUGUUGACUAUGAUUAGUCUUGUAGCUUACUCGCUUAUGCUAUUUUACCUACGCUUAGGAUGUUGAAGAUGUAGCACAUCAU
rnacentral:rRNA from 1 species